GACGAACGCUGGCGGCGUGCUUAACACAUGCAAGUCGAACGGAAAGGCCCUGCUUGCAGGGUGCUCGAGUGGCGAACGGGUGAGUAACACGUGGGUGAUCUGCCCCUUACUUUGGGAUAAGCCUGGGAAACUGGGUCUAAUACUGGAUAGGACCAUGCGGUAGGUGGUGUGGUGGGAAGAUUUUUUCGGUAAGGGAUGAGCUCGCGGCCUAUCAGCUUGGUGGUGGGGUAAUGGCCUACCAAGGCCUCGAAGGGUAGCCGGGCCGGGGGGGUGGACGGCCACAGUGGGACUGGGAUACGGCCCAGACUCCUACGGGAGGGAGCAGUGGGGAAGAGAGCACAAUGGGAGCAAGCCUGAUGCAGCGACGCCGCGCGGGGGGUGACGGCCUGCGGGUUGUAAACUCCUUUCAUCCAGGACGAAGCCACUUUUGGGGUGACGGUAGUGGUAGAAGAAGCACCGGCUAACUACGUG
rnacentral:rRNA from 1 species